rnacentral:tRNA from 1 species
AGGCUUGUAGCUMWGGUGGUUAGAGCGCACCCCUGAUAAGGGUGAGGUCGGUGGUUCAAGUCCACUCAGGCCUACCA